rnacentral:rRNA from 1 species
UACAGAGGGGGCAAGCGUUGUUCGGAAUUACUGGGCGUAAAGGGCGCGUAGGCGGCCUUCUAAGUCAGACGUGAAAUCCCCGGGCUCAACCCGGGAACUGCGUCUGAGACUGGAAGGCUCGAAUCCGGGAGAGGGAUGCGGAAUUCCAGGUGUAGCGGUGAAAUGCGUAGAUAUCUGGAGGAAUACCGGUGGCGAAGGCGGCAUCCUGGACCGGCAUUGACGCUGAGGAGCGAAAGCCAGGGGAGCAAACGGG